GAGAGAGAGAGAGAGAGAGAGAGAGAGAGAGAGAGUGAGAGAGAGAGCGAGAGAUUGGGGGAUUUGUAAGGCAUUUAUAUUUGCUAACUACUGGCUGAAUUUACAUUGGAACAGGUAGAAGAUCAGAUAGACAGAAUUUGUUAGCGUGUGUGAUUGUGUGAAUAUGUUUUAGUAUAUGUGUUUGUGUGUGGGGGACAGAGACAGAGACAUAGAGAGAGAGAGAGAGAGAGGGAGGGAGGGAGGAAGAGAGGGAGGGAGGAGAACCCGUUCCCCUUAGUUCCACACUAAUCUCGUUCCUAGCAAUGGCCUGGGGACGAGGUUAGUUCCACACUAACGCUUCAAUGUGUGCACUUGAGGGAAGUUAUGGAAGCUUUUUUUUCUUUCUUUUUUUCCCCCACCUAUACACUCUUCAACAUUCUGCAAUAACAUUGACGAGACAAGAAGAGAACUGAAUAACUUUCCACUAUUAUUUAGGUGACUGGGAUGUGUGAGGAGGAGAGGUGUGUGAGGAGGAGAGGAGUGUGAGGAGGAGAGGAGUGUGAGGAUGGAAGAUGCUGGGGGAGAGAGGAGCGCUGCUCUGGGCUCAGUGAGAGGUGAGAGUCUUGUUCGCAGCAGAAGAGGAAGAUGAUAAUAGAAUUCACCACAGCUGCUGGAACGACUAUUUCGGGAAACCUAACACCAUGACUCUCCACUCCUCUCCUGCUGGCACCCUAUCAACACCAGCAUGGGUGAUAACAAACUGGGCAUCCUCAUUGUAAUGAGCAGCCUUCUAUAUCUGCUGGGCUGGGAACAGCAGCCUAUAUUGUGGGGUGUAGUGGUUGCUGAUCUAAGGACAUGAGAGUGACAACUAAAGGAUGAGAACUUUCUGCUGGUGCCCUCGGUAAACAUUCAACGCUGUCGGUGAGUUUGAGCAUCUGUCCAAAACCAUCGACCGUUAAAUGUACCCUGUGGGUCACCGUUAAAGAGACACCCGGCAAGAAGAGAGACGAAUACUUUCUCUAAAUCUUCCCUGCUCCCCUGGUGAACAGAAUCUUCAGUUACUUCCCAUACUGGACUAGUUAAGAGGCCCAACUCUUAAGGCUGCAAUAAACAUUCAUUGCUGUCGGUGGGUUUACAUGAGAACGACUCACUGAUCAAUGAAUGCAGACUGCGGUACAAACACCUCAAGGCCUUUAUUUCAGCAGAGAGUGAUGGAAUAGAACGGAUGACAUGUACCGUGCCUUCAGAAAGUACUACCCCUUGAUUUAUUCCACAUUUUGUUGUGUUACAGCCCGAAUUCAAAAUGUAUUAAAUAUAUUUUUUUAUUCUCAUCCAUUUACACACAAUACCCCAUAAUGACAAAGUGAAAACAAGUUUUUAGAAAUGUUUGCACAUUUAUUGAAAAUGAAAUUCAGAAAUAUCUUUGGCAGCAAUUACAGCUGUGAGUCUUUGUAGGUAAGUCUCUAAGAGCUUUCCACACCUUGAUUGUGCAACAUCUGCCCAUUGUUCCCUUCAGAAUUCUUCAAGCUCUGUCAAAUUGGUUGUUGAUCAUUGCUAGACAACCAUUUUCAGGUCUUGCCAUAGAUUUUCAAGUAGAUUUAAGUCAAAACUGUAACUCAGACACUAAGGAGCAUUCACUGUCUUCUUGGUAAGCAACUCCAGUGUAGAUUUGGCCUUGUGUUUUAGGUUAUUGUCCUGCUGAAAGGUGAAUUCAUCUCCCAGUGGUUGGUGGAAAGCAGACUGAACCAGGUUUUCUUCUAGGAUUUUGUCUGUGCUUAGCUACUGUUUCUUUUUAAUGAAUGAUUACAAGCCACCACUAUGCUUGAAAAUAUGGAGAGUAAUACUCAGUAAUGUGUGGUAUUGGAUUUGCCACAAACAUAAAAUGUUGUAUUCAGGACAAAAAGUUAAUUGCUUUGCCACAUUUUUUGCAGUAUUACUUUAGUGCCUUGUUGCAAACAGGAUGCAUGAUUUGGAAUAGUUUUUAUUCUGUACAGGCUUCCUUCUUUUCACUCUGUCAGUUAGAUUAGUAUUGUGGAGUAAGUACAAUGUUGUUGAUCCAUCUUCAGUUUUCUACUAUCACAGCCAUUAAACUCUGUAACUGUUUUAAAGUCACCAUUUAUAGAAUAUGUUCAAAGUAAUGACCCGGGACGUUGGUUAUAAGAUGAACACUUAUUUUUAGUAAUAAUACUUGUUCACGUUGCAUUUUACCACUUUAGAUUCUACAAAAUAAUAAAAUAAAGUUUGCUAGCAAAAGCCAGAAUAAUCACUUCUCACAUAA